rnacentral:tRNA from 4 species
ACGGGCGUAGCUCAGCUGGUAGAGUAGUGGUCUCCAAAACCAUUGGUCGUGGGUUCGAAUCCUACCGCCCGUGCAA